rnacentral:lncRNA from 1 species
CAUGUUUUAUCAUCUAAGAUGUGAUAUUGAUAACAUAUUUUUUCUUUAUAAAAACUAAAAAUUUUAAAUAGUAUAUGAACAUAACAAUUGAAGUAGCUUUGUCAAAUAAAUUUAUAGUAAUAGUUCAUAAAAUAAAAUGGGGUGUUAUUUAUCUACAAUGUUUAAGUUCGAAUCUUAGCACAAUAUAUUUAGUUUUUAAAAAGUUUUUCAAGGCAUAUGAAUUAAUUAGCAUGAGUUAGAGGUAAGAAACUCCAUUUGCUUGAAAUACAUGACCAAAUAGCUGUUCAGAAAAAACAUGACCGAAUAUAAAAUGAAAAAAGAGGAAAAAAAAUCUAAUCUAAUACGAAUUUCAUGCGUUGGUAAACGACAACUUAACAUUCCAUGUAUCUAAGCCUUUAUGUUUUGUCAAAAUGGUAGGUGGUCACACAUUUGGAAGAGCACAAUGCCAAUUCGUGACACCUCGUCUCUACAACUUCAACGGAACCAACAGUCCAGACCCAAGUCUGAACCCAACUUACCUCGUCGAACUCCGUCGCUUGUGCCCUCAAAACGGAAACGGUACCGUUCUGGUCAACUUCGAUGUCGUGACUCCAGAUGCUUUCGAUAGUCAAUACUAUACCAAUCUUCGUAAUGGGGAAGGUCUUAUUCAGAGUGACCAAGAACUCUUUUCAACUCCAGGAGCCGAUACGAUCCCACUAGUAAACCUAUACAGCAGCGACAUGUCUGUGUUCUUUCGAGCAUUCGUUGACGCAAUGAUUAGGAUGGGAAAUCUUAGACCUUUGACUGGAACUCAAGGAGAGAUAAGACAGAAUUGUAGGGUUGUGAAUCCACGAAUUAGGGUUGUGGAGCACGACGAUGGUGUUGUGAGUUCUAUUUGAUUAUGUAUGUUGGGAUAUGUAAGAAAGUAUAAAAUGCGUGAGAACAAUUUCGACUAAAUAAAAGUUCUCACACGAGUUAUGAGAUUUAUGAUAAUCUGCAGGUCUUAAUUACACUUAUUAUGAUUCGAUCUUCUGAUUACUGUACACAUAAUGCAAAUAUACGUGGUGUUUAUAACACUUCAAAUUCUGACAAGUAUUAAAGUGACUUUUGAUUUAACAUAACGUGGAAAUUUAUACUAUAUAUUCAAGCAGAUUGUUGAAAUAAAAUGUCCGAGUUUUUGUCCGCUUUCGUUAUUUAUAAAUGAGAAGAAAAGACAAGGAGCUAAAGUAUCAGAUUAGGUUAACGUUUGUUAAUCAUAAAAACUAGCAUGUGGACUCGUAUGAAAUUGAUAUAUGUAUUAGGUAACUUUGUUAUUUCAAUUUAAAUAAUUUUGGGAAAGACUUGUAUAAUUUAUCCAUUUUUGAGUGUGGUUUCUGUCCUGAGGCUAUAUUUUGCGGUAUUCACGGGAAAGAGAAGGACAAAAACACAAGGAUUUCUAUUUGUCGUUAAAUAUUAGGAAAAUAGUUUGAAAAUGUUUGCUAAUUAUUAAAGACAAUCCUUUAGGAAUGUUCUACGAGAAAAAAUUCAUUUGUCUUGUAUCCAAUUAUGUAGUCCGUGUAAAAAAAGUUAAAAAUAUUUCUUCGAAACCACAACCAACUCAUUGAUUCACUGAUCUAUGUUACACUUAAUCCUUCUAUUACAUGCAUGUUUAUAAAACUCCUCAAUAUAUAAUUAAACAUAGCUAGCCCUGCCAGCACAUUAAUUUGGAGUCUGAUCUAAAUAUCUAAUAAAAGCACAAAAUAUUAGUAAAUAUUGGAAAACAAUCUUAGCACAUAUUUUUAACCAAACUUUAUAAUCACAUCACAUUACAUGUUUUAACGCUCUACAAAAAGUAUCAGGUCAAACUGUCAAAGGCUCUAUGGAGACAACCAAUGUACGUACUACGUAGGUCGAUAUAACACAAAUAUUGGACAGAGAAUACAUUAGCGUUCGUCGAUUUUGAUCUUUUUUUUGUUCUAAGUUGUCCAUCUUAUUCAAAGAUAUAUACAAAUCCAUCCUCUCAAAAUUUCAGAUACUAAGAAGAACACGCCACUAGCUAAUAAAAACAUAGUUAUCACACGACAUGAUAAUAUUAUAAUUUUCUACAUAGACAUAACUUACGUUUAACAUGAAUCAACCACCAUAUCUUUACAGACCCUACAUAAUCCAAAUUUGAUUUCAAUUUCGUACAAUUUUCAUUUUUCGUACCACUGUUGAAAUUUGUCUCGUUUAUAUAUAAUUUAUCAAACUUGAAAUAAAUCUAGAAAUAAAUAAGAAUAUAUAAGCGGAAUUGAGAACCGACCUCUUUAUAGAUACAUCAAUUUGUAGUAAUAAUUUUUUUAUGGAGUCUGUUAUAAAAAGUGGUAAUUGAAGUGAAAAUAAUCAAUAAUUCAAUCUUUACUUGAAUUGUCACAGCGUCCGACAAAUACAACCAAACACUAAAGUUUAAUUCUGUGCAAAGAAUAUAAAGGACGUCCAAAGAAUAGUUUAGUUUAUUUUAAAUUCUAAUUAUUAUUUAUCCUUCAACCACUCUAGUUAAAUACAUGACCUUAAAACAAGACCUAAUAGUAUUAUGUUUUUUAAAUCACAAUACCUAAUAGUCUAUAAUACUAUAAAAGAAAGACUCAAUCUUCUCUAUAUAAUGUUCAUUCUACGCCUUAGCUAAUUCACCACACUCACAACUCAAAUAAUCUUUUGUUUAUCCUCCUCAAAUUAUGGGUUUUUCGCCUUUAUUUUCUUGCAGUGCAAUGGGAGCCCUAAUAUUGGGUUGCCUUCUGCUUCAAGCAUCAAACUCUAAUGCUCAGUUGAGGCCUGACUUCUACUUCAGGACUUGCCCAUCUGUUUUCAGAAUCAUUGGGGAUACCAUCGUCGAUGAACUGCGGACUGAUCCUCGUAUUGCCGCGAGCAUCCUUCGUCUUCACUUCCACGACUGCUUUGUUCGUGUAAGGACUUACUCAGUGUAUCUUUUUCUUAUUUUUUUAAAUCCACGACGUCUACUUUUACAUAAUAAAUAAUGUCUUCAUAUUAUGUGAUAUAUAUGGUUUUUGUAGGGUUGUGAUGCAUCCAUCUUGCUUGACAAUUCCACAUCAUUCCGGACCGAGAAAGAUGCUGCUCCAAACAAAAAUUCGGUUAGAGGGUUCAAUGUCAUAGAUAGAAUGAAAUCAGCCAUUGAGAGAGCUUGCCCAAGAACAGUAUCUUGUGCAGAUAUGCUCACCAUCGCCUCUCAAAUAUCAGUGCUUUUGGUAUGUACAUAUAUAUAUACCUAAAUGACUAAAGAUAUCGAUCGGGUGAAGUUAAUCCAAAUAUAUUAUAAAUUUGACAUCAAUACUUUAUAUGUUAUAUAGUCUGGGGGUCCAUGGUGGCCGGUUCCCUUGGGGAGAAGAGACAGCGUAGAAGCUUUCUUCAACCUGGCUAAUACAGCUCUUCCCUCUCCGUUUUCCACUCUUACUCAACUUAAAGCAGCUUUUGCUGACGUUGGCCUAAACCGGGCUUCGGAUCUAGUCGCUCUUUCCGGUAAUUUUUUCAUGUUGCUUCAAUUUAUAUCAUCUAAGAUAACUAGAUAAGUGUUGUUGAUCUAGCUAGAUACGAUUCAUUUUACAUAUUGAUAGCUAUCUAAUUACAAGUUGAUUCAGAAAUUUAUUAUUUUAUUAGAAAAUGAUCAACUUCAAUUAUUUAUAUUUAGUUUAUACUUUCUUAGUUCUUACAAAUGAUUUGGUUGGCUUUGAUAAAGUUCUAUACUGAAAUAUUAAUUUGUUAAAAUAAACUGAAUGGACUUAUAUUGAUCAAAUAAACCACAACAAAAAUAUCAUUUGAAUUUUUUUGAUUGCAUAGUUUUCUCCUUAUUUAGAUAUAUAUAUAUAUAACUUGUAUUUUUGAUUUUUAAUAUAUAGUAUAUAAAAACAACAUUGAAGACCUAAUUUCUACAAAUAUAUUUAUAAUAAUAUUUGGUAAACUGAAAUGGGUUCACUUAUUUUUCAACAAGGUUUCAAUUUCGAAUCUUAGUACAAGUUAUUUAGUAUUUAGAAGGUGUUUUUGAGGCAUAUGAAUUAGUUAACAUGAGGUAAGAAAACCCAUUUUCUUGAUUUUGAAAAAAAAAGACUUGUAAAAAAACAUCUCAAAUAAAUAUCUACUACCACGUGAUUUUGAAUUAUAAAAGAACUUGGUAAAAUGAAAAAAACAUGACUCAUCUUUAAAUAAAACAUACACUGUAUCUAAUCCUUCAUUUGUCAAAAUGGUAGGUGGUCACACAUUUGGAAGAGCACAAUGCCAAUUCGUGACACCUCGUCUUUACAACUUCAAUGGUACCAACAGACCAGACCCAAGUCUGAACCCAACUUACCUCGUCGAACUUCGUCAAUUGUGUCCUCAAAACGGAAACGGUACCGUUCUUGUCAACUUUGAUCCCGUGACUCCAAAUGCUUUCGAUCGCCAAUAUUAC